rnacentral:rRNA from 1 species
UGGGGAAUCUUGGACAAUGGGCGCAAGCCUGAUCCAGCCAUGCCGCGUGGAUGAUGAAGGCCUUAGGGUUGUAAAAUCCUUUCGCCGAGGACGAUAAUGACGGUACCCGCAGAAGAAGCCCCGGCUAACUCUGUGCCAGCAGCCGCGGUAAUACAGAGGGGGCAAGCGUUGUUCGGAAUCACUGGGCGUAAAGCGCACGUAGGUGGAUAGUUAAGUUCGGGGUGAAAUCCCAGGGCUCAACCCUGGAACUGCCUCGGAUACUGGCUAUCUCGAGUCCGGAAGAGGUGAGUGGAAUUCCUAGUGUAGAGGUGAAAUUCGUAGAUAUUAGGAAGAACACCGGUGGCGAAGGCGGCUCACUGGUCCGGUACUGACACUGAGGUGCGAAAGCGUGGGGAGCAAACAGGAUUAGAUACCCUAGUAGUCCCUGAGCGGGCUGGCAAGGCGCAU